GUACUCGCUUCAGCAGCACGUAUACUAAAAUUGGAAUGAUACAGAGAAGAUUAGCAUGGCCACUGCGCAAGGCGGGACAUACAAAUUUGUGAAGCAUUCCAUAUUUUU